AGCGGUGGAGUAUGUGGCUUAAUUCGACGCAACGCGAAGAACCUUACCAAGGCUUGACAUACACCGGAAAGCAUCAGAGAUGGUGCCCCCCUUGUGGUCGGUGUACAGGUGGUGCAUGGCUGUCGUCAGCUCGUGUCGUGAGAUGUUGGGUUAAGUCCCGCAACGAGCGCAACCCUUAUCCUGUGUUGCCAGCGUGCCCUUCGGGGUGACGGGGACUCACAGGAGACCGCCGGGGUCAACUCGGAGGAAGGUGGGGACGACGUCAAGUCAUCAUGC
rnacentral:rRNA from 1 species